rnacentral:tRNA from 1 species
GGGAAUGUAGCUCCGUGGUAGAGAACUUGCAUAGCAUGUGCAAGACCCUGGGUUCCAUCCCCAGCAUCCCCC